UUUGGCGCAGAGAGGCAAAAAAAGGAAACGCUAAAAACGGGAGAACAUAUCCCUUCCACUCGCGCUUUCCGUUUGAAGCCAUUGAAGGCGAGGGAAAAGCUUCUCCGGCGAAAGAAUCGCAGGUCAAUGUCAUCUAGUUCUGAAUAUUCGCGUCUCUGCCGUCUGAUCAACGAUUCUCUUCCUCCUUACACCGAAUCAGAGCUAAUUUCGGUGACCAAACAAAAGGAGAAAGAUCUUCUGCUUGCUCUUUCCCAGGUUUCAAGAAAGAUUCAACUCUGGAUAUAUGAGCUUGAUUCCGAUUCCUAUGACGACAUGGCGGCCCAACCUACUUGUACUGAGAAAUCAGAAAAUUAUGAAGAACAUUGUUGUUUGACUGGAAUCAUAGCCAACUUGAUAGUUUUUCUGACAGCUGAGAGUCAAUAUGUUCAAUAUUUGGCAAGCAAGGUUCUUGUGGUCAUUUCUGAGUUUGUUGCCGUUUCUGGAAGCAAUUGGGCGGGAUUUGUGCGUUUUUUGUGUGUUUGCUUUGAAGUAGCAAUUGGCAACUUUCUUUCAUCAUCUUUAGCACUCCAAACUGCUGGGAAUGAAAUUUCUACUGAGAAGUCAAGUUUUGUUGUUUUUGUAAAACCCAGACUGAAAAAUGCAAAUUGGUCUGCAGUGGCUGGUAUUAUUCGAGUUUUGCGCAAUAUAUUGAAAUAUUUGAAGCAAGAAUAUGAUGAUCAACUUGGGAAAAUAUACUUGGAUUCUAUCAGUUCUUGUUUGUCAAAUGUGCCUUGGGAUUCAUUGAAUGAUGUUUGUGUUGGUCAGAAUGGUGACACUCAGAGAUGCUCGGACACUUUUAGUCUGAAGAAUGUUCAGCUACCAGAGUCAAGGGUUGUAUUUCUAGGAAAUCUUGUUCAGUUCUUCUGUUCAUUGGUUGAGCAAAGUGGUUCUCUGGGAGUCCCAGGUGGUUCUUUAGAUAAGCAUCCUGUUCUUUGUAACAUCAACGACCUUGUUCCUAAGCUUUUAUAUUGGUGCCUCGGCAAGCAAGGGAAUUGUAACAACUUGUGCAUCUCUCAGUACUUUAAACACAAGUUGUUGAUGCUAAUGAUUAGGCUCAGUUUCCAUAUCCAUCUGCAAUAUUCAAUUCUUGCUUCUUGGCUGCAAGUUCUCCAUGAAUACUUUCAAGAUCUUUUGCUCCAACCAAUAUGUCAAGUCAAGCCUGAUGAGAAUGGUUGUCUUGAAGGCUCUCCAUUUUUAUUUAGUAUUCUUGAUGGAGAAGUAUACAGCAUGUCUUUACGGCAUUUACAGAGACAGGCUGUUUUCCUUUUCCUAAGGUGUUCCUUCAGUUUGAUCAGUCUGAGAGAAGAAAUCAGAGAGCAAUGUGCAUAUGCAACUACAAAUUCAUGCGUGACAUUUGACCUGAAUUCAAAUUUGGAAUGUUGUAGUCAAAAGAAAGGUCUAUCAGAGCUUUAUGAGUGGCUUCAAGGACAUAUUCUUAAGUAUUUGGUUGUGGACCAUGAAAUGUAUUGGGAAAAAUGCAUAGACUUCGCCUUGUCCUUCCUUCAACUGUUUAUGCAUGAAGAUGAUAUCUUGUUUGAGGUGCUCUUGCUAAUGUUUAGCUUACCUUCUUGUGCUGAGCAACAGGUUUGCCAAGAAAGGGAGGCUUUUCAGGAGAUGAAGGAAGAUGUACUCUUACAUGUGUCACACCUUUUUAACCCUUUACACCUGUUCCAUCUUUUCCUUGCAGAGUUACACUAUGAUCAUCAAGUGCUUCUUGAUUACCUUAUUUCAAAAGAUACAGGAAUUAGUUGUGCAGAAUAUAUUUUGCGGUGUUUGCGUAAAAUAUGUGAAUCGUGGGACUUAUUUGUGGAAUUUUCAGUGACUGGGAAAUUUAUGAGUCAAUCAUUUCGCAAGAAAAGAAAAGUCUUUCAGAAUGGCCCAGAUUCUCAGGUAGAACCAUCAUCUUCACCAAUUAUAGAUGCUGGCAUUCCUAUGUCACUUGAGAAGGAAUGUAUGAGAAAACACAACUAUGGCCACAAGGAAUGUGGAUCUAGAGGACAACCAUUUAAGGAAGCAAAGGAAUGUUUACUUUCCUUGAAAAAUUCUGUGGAAAAUCUUCAUCAAAAGAGCUUGUUUCCAUAUAAUCCACAAGUGCUUCUGAGACGUUUAACGAGAUUUCAUCAGCUUUGCCUUGAACAUGAGGAAUGUUAACUUCCAAAUAAUGACAGAACUAUUGAGGAUGUUGAGACCCAUCUCACAGAUUGUCAUCUGUUUAUUUUCACGAUUGGACCUCUGGAUGCCUUAAACCUUUUUCCCAGUGGAAUAUCGGCGAAGUAAAUGAGAUUUGAAUGUGCGGAGAGGAUGACAAUUCCAGAAACCAUAUUUGAUUGGCUACAAGUAGAUAGAAAUGGGUAUAGGUUCAAUGGGGAGACACAGGACACAGAAGGAGUGUUCCUUUACAGUCUCUGAAGCAAUUUUCUUAUGCAAGUUAUUCGGAUUGAUUGAUCAUCUAUUUGAUUGUUGAAGAGCUGAUCGAUACAAAAAGCAGCAACCUGCCUACCACAUGUAAUUUAGUCCCAACAGUUUGUGUUCUUGAGGAUGGUUCAGAGUUGGAGGCAAUUGUGCUUUAUAGCUCUGGCUAUGCAACUUGCCCCUGGUUUUUUGAGGCAGUUGGAAAAUGAAUGUAUUUCCUACGGAUCAGUAGGAGGAAAGCACACACUUCAUGUGGUACUUGCAUUUCUUCCAUUGUCUUUAGCAAUUGGUUGGAAUAACAUGCCAAGAGAGUCUGGGUACUUGGACUGAUAGACCAGGUCUUUCUCUCUCUCUAGAUGCCAUUAUACUAUCCUACUGGUUUGCAAUGUUAAUGUUUAAGUUAUUCUUGGUUGCUAUGUUCAUGGAUUCAAAAUCUAUAACUGAUGAGACAUGAUA